rnacentral:rRNA from 1 species
GUGAGACAGUUCGGUCCCUAUCCGCUGUGCGCGUAGGAAUAUUGAGAAGGGCUGUCCCUAGUACGAGAGGACCGGGACGGACGAACCUCUGGUGUGCCAGUUGUUCUGCCAAGGGCAUGGCUGGUUGGCUACGUUCGGGAGGGAUAACCGCUGAAAGCAUCUAAGCGGGAAGCCUGCUUCGAGAUGAGUGUUCCCACCUCCUUGAGAGGGUAAGGCUCCCAGUAGACGACUGGGUUGAUAGGCCGGAUAUGGAAGCCCUGUAAGGGGUGGAGUUGACCGGUACUAAUAGGCCGAGGGCUUGUCCUCAGUUG